rnacentral:lncRNA from 1 species
GUACUGAUGGCCCACGACUACAAGGUAGUGUAGCAAGUACUGACAGCCCUAGACUACAAGGUAGUGUAGCAAGUACUGACGGCCCUAGACUACAAGGCAGUGUAGCAAGUACUGAUGGCCAACGACUACAAGGUAGUGUAGCAAGUACUGACGGCCCUAGACUACAAGGUAGUGCACGUGUAGCAUGUACUGAUGGCCCACGACUACAAGGUAGUGUAGCAAGUACUGACUGCCCACGAUUACAAGGUAGUGUAGCAAGUACUGACGGCCCAUGACUACGAGGUAGUGUAGCAAGUUCUGAUAGCCCACGACUAUUAGGUAGUGUAGCAAGUACUGAUAGCCCACGACUACAAUGUAGUGUAGCAAGUUCCGAUAGCCCACGACUACAAUGUAGUGUAGCAAGUUCUGAAGGCCCACGACUACAAUGUAGUGUAGCAAGUACUGACGGCCCUAGACUACAAGGUAGUGUAGCAAGUUCCGACAGCCCACGACUACAAGGUAGUGUAGCAAGCACCUACGGCCCACUCAUACAGUCGUAGUUUAGACAGCACUCACGGCCCAAUUAUAUAGUAGUAGUUUAGUCAGCUCUCACGGCCCACUCAUACAGUAUUAGUUUAGACAGCACUCAGGGCCCAAUUAUAUAGUAGUAGUUUAGACAGCACUCACGGCCCACUUAUACAGUAUUAGUUUAGACAGCACUCACGGCCCAAUUAUACAGUAGUAGUUUAGACAGCACUCACGUCCCAAUUAUACAGUAGUAGUUUAGACAGCACUCACGGCCCAAAAACUACAGAGAAGUAUAGUAAACUGUGACGGCCCAAACUACAGCGUCGUGUACCUCCACAAUUUGACUGCCAUUGGCACUAACAGCUACCAUUGACCAAGAAGUACUAUGUGUAGAUCAGUCUAAACAUUGAUUAAGAAUUCUAUUACAUGUACUCGAAUAUUUAAUACUUACCAAUUGUUUCAGUCUUAUAAUAUUUUAAUCUUAAAAUUUAUCAUGAAAACAUUGCAACAGGAGCAUUGAAUGUGUUCCAUUGGUUCAUACAACUACAAAAAGUAAAUUACAUUCAGGACAUCUGAUAAAAGGUGAAUUCCUGAAAUGUUCAGUAAUCACCACACAUAGGAACAAACUAGUACAGAUGUAUAAGUUACCAGUACCUCUGCCUCAUCGGAUCUUGUUACUGACAGUACUCUGGUGUAUAAUUUUAACAAUCUACUGCCAUAUCUUAUCCCUCAUCCUGUUUUGUUACCCAACCUGAGUACCAGUAAUUGCAGGCUCUAAAUUCGCCUUACUUAGAGUGCACUGUAUGGUUUUUAAAUCAAUGAUCAUCCAUUAAUUUAGGAUGUGUGCUACCUUAAUGUGAUAUAGCCUCCUUCCCAGAGAGAUCUACACAAGAUAACUGUAAAUAUUCUCUGGUAAACAAUUUGUCAAUUGGUUUGCGCAGGGUUUGGCAUCCUCACAACAGCUAUGUAGAUUGUGUAUGUGUUAAUAACCCUUCUGUGAUGCUAAAGUAGACAACACACAUUUUAACUUUGUAAGGGAAAUAACUCUCACACUUGUAGGUUGUAACAUGGGGACUGGUAUUGUGCACCAGUCUGAUAUAAGUAAUACAUUGUCAAAUCACUCAAAUUUUAAGUGAAAAGAAACUGAUUUGAUAGGAUUGUUAUUUGUGGAGAGAGAAUGGAACUCUAGGUGUUAUGUAUAUCUCUGGUCAGAUAUAGAUGGAUGGGAUUUGGGGGACUAAUGAUGAAAUAUUGGUAAAGGCCUAAGGGCAUUUUUUAAGGAAUAGAAACAAUUUGAUGAGAAGUGUCAAUCCAAUUCACGAGUAAAAAGGUAAAUUUAAUUUUAGAUUUUUUUUUUAAUUCCAGCUAAGGGAUUGAUUUUGAUACGUUUGGUCACAUUAUUUCAGCAAGCAUGACGAUUUACCACGGUAUAGCAUUUAAAUAAUUUUAAAGUAAAUAUUAUAUUGGCACAAUAAGACAACGUUCUAUGUUGUUAUAUCCAAUGCACUGGUAACCAUACCAUACAGGAUGUGUCACCUCCUACAACACACAAGAAUAUGUAUGGUGGAGGCCCCAUAGAAAAGAUUGCAUAUGUAUGCCUGGCCACUGAACAGACAACACUGAUUACACACGAGUGGUGAAGGUUAAAGCGAGAUCAAGGAUACCAACACAAAACUCUACACAUACAAUGAAAACGGCUUGCAUUUAAGAAUGGAAUGUUAGCAAGAUGUCCUGAUGAGACUGAAUUAGAGCUGACAUCUAAAGGCAGUAGAUACACCAGGGUCUCUAAUCAGACAGUCUGUCCCUAACUCAAUAAAUUACUGUAGGUGUCAAUUUACACACACUGCGUCUUUCCACACGAGCUGCAAGGACAAUAUAUUUAGGGCAAACUAGUUUUGAAUUUCAUUAUCAUCCAGAAAAAUUAACACCUCAACUUAUUCGGUGAUGGUCAUAUCAAAACAGCAAUAAGCCAGAUCAAUUCAAGUGAUGUGAAUGCCAAGGGAGUCCUGGAAUCUUUUCAAAAAUCUGUACGUUUUCACAAGGUAACAAUACUACAAUAAAAUAUUCCCAACAAGAGGUCAAACACAAGUUGUAUUCCAUAAAAUUAAUUUCCAUCCAUGGAAAUGUUGAGUUUGAUUAUGAAAUGAGAACCAAAUGGCAGUCCAUUUAAGAGAACUCUUAACUCGGCUAAAUUUUAAAUGAUUGUUUAGAAUUAAAAUUUCAUUAAAAAUAUGAUUUAUUAUCACUCGCUUGUAGAGCAGGAAACCAGACAACAUUUCAAAAGCUCUCUGAUGUCGUAAUAACAUAAUAACUACCCUAUCACGGUCUACUACAAUCAUCUCACCUGUAAACAUACAAGUCUCAGAUGUGUACGUCUCACCUGUAAACUUGUUGUAUACAAGUCUCAGGUGUGUACAUCUCACCUGUAAACAUACAAGUCUCAGGUGUGUACGUCUCACCUGUAAACAUACAAGUCUCAGGUGUUACUAAAACAGAAUAUUUUUUCUGCAUCAUGAUUUUCUGGCGUUUAAUCACUAAAACAGAAUAAUUUAUGCUUUGCUUCAUUUUCAGGCGUAACACACCAAAAUGACAUAAUUAAUUUGUAGGUGCAUUACACCAGGUAUGAAUUACCUGCAACAACAUUCGUAGGUGUCAAAUAUCAACACAGAAUAACUUACUGUAAUAACACUGAGGACACUAGCACAAAAACACAUAUUUUAUACCUAUGCUUUACAUUACGUAAAAUGGAUCUGAUAUUGUAUCAAAUUGAUAUUGUCUGAAGACUAUACAAUGAUAUACAAUGAAUUGUACAAAUAAUGUAUUUUAGACAAAACACUGGGUACAUACGUUGUAUCAAUGACAAAACUUCAUGACAAAACUUCAUAUCAAACCAAAAUUUGCAUCCAAUUACAUAACUAGUAUUAUCAAUUUCAAUGCUUUCUUAUACAUUUUGUGCUUUCAUACAAAAACAAAUUGGGUAUGAAGUUGAAAUAUGUUAGGUAAGGAAUGUAUUUUGACACAAGUUAUAUGAGAGUGAACACUAGAACAAUCCAAAACUGUGGCUGUCACUACACAGGAGUCAGCUGAAGUCCCGUAUCAAGAUUUAUUGUAAGAAAAACUUUGAUGGAAAAACCUCCGAAAUGGGAGAGCGACCGAUAUUAUGAUAACAGGUCAUCUAGAAGUUUUCAACCUUUUGUGUCUAAACAACUUUACAAGCACAAAGCAUGGUGGGGAAACUAAAAAAACAAAAAACA